UACCUGCAGCUCAAGUGGUGGCCGCUAUUAUUGGGCCUAAAACGUCCGUAGCCGGUUUAGUAAAUGCUUGGGUAAAUUGUGUAGCUUAACUAUACGAAUACCGGGUAGACUGCCAAACUUGGGACCGGGAGAGGCUAGAGGUACUCCUGGGGUAGAGGUGAAAUUCUGUAAUCCUAGGGGGACCACCAGUGGCGAAGGCGUCUAGCCAGAACGGGUCUGACGGUGAGGGACGAAGCCCUGGGGCGCAAACCGGAUUAGAUACCCGGGUAGUCCAGGGUGUAAACGCUGCUUGCUUGAUGUUAGUUGGGCUCCGAGCCCAACUAGUGUCGGAGAGAAGUUGUUAAGCAAGCUGCCUGGGAAGUACGGUCGCAAGACUGAAACUUAAAGGAAUUGGCGGGGAGCACAGCAACGGGUGGAGCGUGCGGUUU
rnacentral:rRNA from 1 species